rnacentral:rRNA from 2 species
GUUGUUAAAGAAGAACAUAUCUGAGAGUAACUGUUCAGGUAUUGACGGUAUUUAACCAGAAAGCCACGGCUAACUACGUGCCAGCAGCCGCGGUAAUACGUAGGUGGCAAGCGUUGUCCGGAUUUAUUGGGCGUAAAGCGAGCGCAGGCGGUUUUUUAAGUCUGAUGUGAAAGCCUUCGGCUCAACCGAAGAAGUGCAUCGGAAACUGGGAAACUUGAGUGCAGAAGAGGACAGUGGAACUCCAUGUGUAGCGGUGAAAUGCGUAGAUAUAUGGAAGAACACCAGUGGCGAAGGCGGCUGUCUGGUCUGUAACUGACGCUGAGGCUCGAAAGUAUGGGUAGCAAACAGGAUUAGAUACCCUGGUAGUCCAUACCGUAAACGAUGAAUGCUAAGUGUUGGAGGGUUUCCGCCCUUCAGUGCUGCAGCUAACGCAUUAAGCAUUCCGCCUGGGGAGUACGGCCGCAAGGCUGAAACUCAAAGGAAUUGACGGGGGCCCGCACAAGCGGUGGAGCAUGUGGUUUAAUUCGAAGCUACGCGAAGAACCUUACCAGGUCUUGACAUACUAUGCAAAUCUAAGAGAUUAGACGUUCCCUUCGGGGACAUGGAUACAGGUGGUGCAUGGUUGUCGUCAGCUCGUGUCGUGAGAUGUUGGGUUAAGUCCCGCAACGAGCGCAACCCUUAUUAUCAGUUGCCAGCAUUAAGUUGGGCACUCUGGUGAGACUGCCGGUGACAAACCGGAGGAAGGUGGGGAUGACGUCAAAUCAUCAUGCCCCUUAUGACCUGGGCUACACACGUGCUACAAUGGAUGGUACAACGAGUUGCGAACUCGCGAGAGUAAGCUAAUCUCUUAAAGCCAUUCUCAGUUCGGAUUGUAGGCUGCAACUCGCCUACAUGAAGUCGGAAUCGCUAGUAAUCGCGGAUCAGCAUGCCGCGGUGAAUACGUUCCCGGGCCUUGUACACACCGCCCGUCACACCAUGAGAGUUUGUAACACCCAAAGUCGGUGGGGU